AUUUCUGCCUUCAUCCGUCCCGUAGUAAUUCCUGCACAGAGUGGCAAAUUCGUAAUAAUAUCACUCAGAAGUAAAACCAAGAAACCAACGACGGAAAACGUAUAAAUAUUCGCGGGAAACAAACGAAUAAGAAUCCUCCUCAUCCUAAGACAUGCAGACCAAUAAAAACAAAGCUUCCUCAAACCCUCGUUGCUGUUCUUGUUAUUCUUCCACAAACCAAAUCAAUUCCACUGCGUUUGAAACCCGCAAAUAAUAUACUCAUUGCCUUACUUUUCCCACAAUAAUGGGCUUUAAAUUUCUCUUUCUCACUCGCUGGCUCUUAAUUUGCUCAAGCACAAGUUGGAAGUAUCUCCUCCAACUGCCCUUUGCCGGUUGGUCGGGAACCAGAGUGCCCAUCAAUUUUGUGAAAUGGCAACAGACGGUGCAAAAAGUUUUGCGAGGAGGGACCGUCUCUUGGAGAUUGAGCAGAAGGUUCGAGGCUGGUGGGAGGAGAAAGAUGUUUUCAGGGCUGAA
rnacentral:misc_RNA from 1 species